AGUCCUGUCAGCUCAGAGGAGGACCUGGAUGUGACAGUGGAGGUGUGUAGGGCUGCUGACAGUAGGACUGUACCAGAGGAGCAGAAGCUGGAGACCAAACACGGGAGUAAGAUAGCUGUGUGUGUGUUUUGACACUCAACCAGAGUUUGAGCAGUAUUUCAGUUUGGAAGCCAUCAUAUUCACUGCUGGGUUAUUCAGGCAGUAGUAGACGAGGACAGAUAAUAAACUGAUGUAGUGUUCAUUUCCCUAGAGUGUCAGCCUGUACAGGAGUCAGAUGAGAUUGACAUAAACCCCACUGUCAGUCAGCACGUACCCUUUCCAAUGGCCAGGUAGGAGCAGCACCGACGCUCCAUGGUAGAAUCAACUGUACAAUAUGAUUAUGUAAUGUAUGUGUGUGUUGUCAAUAGACAGAUUAAUGCUUAAGGUUUGUAAAUCCCUGUUAGAACCUGAUGGGAAUGUUGUUUAGGAGCUCUGGAAAGGGUGAGACUGUAGUCCUGUGUAGCUCAGUUGGUAGAACAUGGUGCUUGUAGGUUUGAUUCACAUGGGGGACCAGUAUGAAAAAUGUAUGCUCUCACUACUGUUGCUCUGGAGAAGAACGUCUGCUAAUUGACAAAUGUAAAGAGUAGAUUGAGGUGUGAUAUAGUCAAGAACCAACAGUUCUUCCUUUGGGAGUAUGUCCACAUAUCAUGCCCAGUGUGCCACACGGAGUAUUUCUGCAGAUCAUGUAUGUGCCACACGGAGUAUUUCUGCAGAUCAUGUAUGUAUGUAUGUAUGUAUGUAUGUAUGUAUGUAUGUAUGUAUAGUGGUCUACCUGACCUGGCUGAUGUCUCCAGCAUCACGUGCUCACCCGCCCAGCACCAUGAGUGGUUGGGCCAGGAGAGACUGCAACCCAGCCCCCUGAACAGACGGCCUCCGCCCUGCUACAGCACCCCACGCAGCCCAGCGACUGCGCCCAACUACAGAGCCAUGGGGGUCACUGGGGAGCCCAUCCCCCCUCUGCCCAGCCUGCUGGACACCUCCACCUGGGGCAGCACCCGCUCCCUGCCCCCCCACACCGAGAGCUUCGCCAUUGCCAGCCUGGGAGCCAGCACGACAGACCUCUCCAGACAGACCUCACCCCUGAUGAGAGACUCCUCCCUCGAGGAGACUGGGACGCACGUGGGCGUGUCAGAGUUCACCACAGCCAGCUCCGGAGAGAGACGGACCACAGGGACCAGCCAGGAGGGCGUGGGCUCUACCUACACCGUACCCACCACCAGCCAAGAAAGGGAGGAGGUGGAGGAGAGAGAGAGUUUAGAGGAGAAGAACAUGGAGUAUCUCGAAGGGGAGAGAGGCAUGUCGCUGGCUGCUGACAGGAAAGAAGAGUUGGAAGGGUCCGAUCAGGGUAGCUGUGCUGGUGUGGAUGUCGACCUGAUUGAUGAAGAUCCUCUGGAUGCUAGCUCCUCUGUUUUAGAGGGAGAAGAUGAACUUGUGUCAGAUGAGGAAGAGUUGCAUGGCGAAGAGGAGACAGACCAUGAGGAUGAAGAUGUGAUUAAUGAUCAAGUGCUAACUGACGAAGAGGGUUCUGUGGCCAGUACACAGCAGGCAGAGACAUCAGGAGCUCACCAUGGCAGCACACACAGUGAAGAUUACCUUUCAGGCUGUGGUCCAGACACAGAGGGAGCUGCAGCAUCUGUACAGCAGAGCCAGGCCAAAGGCCUGUCUGGGGGCCCAGACUCACUGGAGGAGACUGACAGAGCUCACUCUACUCUGGAUGAGGUGCUGCAGGGCAUGUUGGUGGAAAGGGCCGCUGGUCAAAGGGUUCUGAAAAGUCCAGGUCUGGUUGCACACCCCAAACAGCAACUGGGUGUGUGUGAGCCCCAGGUGGAGGGCGAGUUGAGUGAGGAUGCAGGUUGUCCAGGAGGGGACCGUGCCGAAGUGGCAGAACGAAAGGGGGUCGACACCAAUGACUGGACAGAACCAGCACCUGUCGCAGAAAAGCUAGAAAUGGCUAGUCAUGAGACCUGGAGUCAGCCUCACAGGGUUAUUGUCCUGGAGCAGACUCCCAUCAAAAGCCAAAGUGACCCCAACCAAGUGAGAUUGAGAAAGAACAUGUAG
ensembl:lncRNA